CCUACGGGAGGCAGCAGUGAGGAAUAUUGGUCAAUAGACGAGAGUCUGAACCAGCCAAGUAGCGUGAAGGAUGACUGCCCUAUGGGUUGUACACUUCUUUUAUCAAGGAAUAAAACGAGGCACGUGUGCCUUUUUGCAUGUACUUUAUGAAUAAGGAUCGGCUAACUCCGUGCCAGCAGCCGCGGUAAUACGGAGGAUCCGAGCGUUAUCCGGAUUUAUUGGGUUUAAAGGGAGCGUAGAUGGGUUGUUAAGUCAGUGGUGAAAGUUUGCGGCUCAACCGUAAAAGUGCAAUUGAUACUGGCAGUCGUGAGUACAGUUGAGGGAGGGGGAAUUCGUGGUGGAGCGGUGAAAUGCUUAGAUAUCCCGAAGAAACCCAGAUUGCGAAGGCAGCUUACUA
rnacentral:rRNA from 1 species